CUGCCUCAGCCUUGAGGAAACCGGGCCUCGCUGAGGGCCGUAUAUACGUUCCUUCCUUUACGCCCUUGCUUGGUUCCAGGGCAGGACCUGAGGGGCUAUGCUCAGUGCGUCUCCUUCCCGACUCUUCCAGGCGGCUCCUCCACUGACACGUAUGUUCACCCAUUCAGCAGAAGCUUUCGUAUGCUGACACUGCAGUCUAUGAAAUGCACUCAAAGAAAAUGAAGUGAAGGUGCAGGUGGUGCUUGACCAUCUUCAGAGUUCUUCCACAUGUGCUGCUGGUCUCACCUCCUCCCUCCAAGGCAAGGGUAAGAGGCCCAGAGGAUGCAGUGACUUGCCUAAGGUAUCAGCUGAACAGUGUGUAACAGACUCAACCUCAGGCCCUCCGACACUGAGCCAGCUUACGUGACGGGACAGCUCACUGCAGGAGGACAGAGCAGCGCAUAAACGGAUCAGACAGGGCCUCCCUGCAAGUCUCCACAACCAGCUGCCAACUCUGGAGGCUCCACAUUGCGAUGGGUAAUUGUAAUUGCCUGAAUACAAUGGGUGGCUUUUUCCUCCGUG